UACGUAGGCAGCAAGCGUUGUUCGGAAUUACUGGGCGUAAAGAGUGUGUAGGCGGUUUUCUAAGUUCGGUGUGAAAUCUCCCGGCUUAACUGGGAGGGUGCGCCGAAAACUGGAAGGCUUGAGUGCCGGAGAGGAUAGCGGAAUUCCCGGUGUAGCGGUGAAAUGCGUAGAUAUCUGGAGGAACACCGGUGGCGAAGGCGGCAUCCUGGACCAACACUGACGCUGAGGAGCGAAAGCCAGGGGAGCAAACGGG
rnacentral:rRNA from 1 species